CUCAGUACUCUAGUCACAAUGACAGCAUCCAACAUAAUACUAUGUCCCUGCAAUAAUCACUUUCCUUCUCCCCUGAAUCUCCUCCCUAUUUGUUGUGUGGGGUUGUCAGAGUCCAGAGUUUGGGCAGGUCUCUCUCCAGCUCCUAUAGAAAGUGCUACUUGGUCAGCUCCGUGAGCUGUACCUCUUAAUCCUUUGGUAGCUUCAUUGAUUGCUGGGUAGGGAGGCCCUCACUGGAUUGCCUGAGAUUUGCUGAUUCUUUCUGCAGCUUCUGCAAAAGCCAUCCUGAGUCUGUAUUCUGUCUCCAUGCCACUUCUUGUUUGAGAAAGCUGCUUCUGCAAACAUCCCCUCUCCCCGCCGGCCCCACGCUGUGCAAAGUCUUCAGGGAUCAGUGUCUUAUAGCACCCAGAGUAGAGCCCUUAUGGGCUUGGACCCCACCAAAAGAUGGAGUGCCUUUCCUUCCCAAAAGGAGACUGUGGCAGCUAUAGCAGAGGACCAGCUGGGUUAGUUGCUGGCACCUCCAAGAGAGACUUGGCAAGCAGCUCCCUUGAGACUGGAGAAAGAGAAGAAGAGAUACUUGGAUGACUGCUCCUUGAGGAUCCCAACCAUGAGUGAGAUUGAAACCUAUUUUUACAUUCUGAGAAAAACAACUUCAGCAUAACUUUGCAGAUCAGUGACAAAAGUAAAACUGCUAUCCAAAACUGUAUGGUAAAACCCCAGUCUUGCGUUAUAUUCCUGAAACCUUGUCAGCCUUCAACUUCUGCAACCAGCCAUGAGAAAGUGAAGAGGAACACAACCAUCACCCAUCUCUACACCACCAAUAAGUCAACAGUCCUAUGGAAAAAAUGCAAGCUCCCCCAGCAAUUCUACAUCUAUUUAUCAUAUUCACAAUGCUGUUGCCAACUUGAUUGACAGUAAAUUUGGAGGCAGCCUGUAAUUUAUACUGUAGAGUAUUAUUUUACUCUCUAGAGCAUGAUUGCCAAAUAGUUUUCUUCUUUCUGAACUGUAUUAACAUGAAUACAUUUUGGCAAACAAUAGACAAUAGCAAGCGUAUCAGAACAGCCUACUCUAACAUACAUCAAGGCUCUUCACAGCCUCAUUAGUACAUCCAGGAUGAUUUGUGUAUCUGAAUGUCUUACCUUGUAUUUCUAUCUAGCCAGGCUGACUACAGGCUUUGUUGGGCCCCUGGGCAACGUGUGUAUAUUGUGUGGAAGGGAGCAGCCAGAUCUCAGUGUUGCCCACAGCAUAGUGCGCAGAGCUCCUGCAGCAAUUUAAAGGGCCUGGAGCCAUAAACUCUUUUAAAUUGUCAGGCUACAGGACAACUGCCCCCUUUACCUCCUCCCCACCCCCGCCAUCAUCAGUCCUGGGAUGCUAAACAACCACACAGAUAUAACUAAAUAAGCCAUACCAAUUAGUUAAAUUCAUCAUUCUUGAGAUUUUUUAUGAACUAGGCCGAAAAAAAUUAUCCAAGCUGACACGGAAAUCCCUAUGAUUUUUAAGGGAAAAUAAUGGUUCUGGAUUAAUCAGUGUUUGGCAGUCACUGUCCUUCUACUCAUAUCCUCCAGAGCUCAUACCACCACUGGCUUUUGUAGUUCCAACAUCUAGCAGCAAGUUUAUAUUUCAAUUACACCUCAGCAGGCUUUGGUUGCAUCCCUGUCAAUCACCAUCAGAGCAGCAAUAUUCAAAGCAAGUGGAAUAAAAACUGGUUAUCAGGAGUUGGGAGUACCAAUGCCAACUAAGGUAGAAUCUGAUUGCCAAAGGCUGGGAAGUUAGGAGAAUAAAGCACAACUGGUGGGGAAAUGGAAGGAGAAUAUUUGUUUUUUUUAAAUUUCUUAUUUCUGUAACCUCUGUUGCCGCCUGCAGAAAAACAUAGAAACUGUGUUAAACAAACAAACAGAAAUUUGUGACUGCCAUGUGCUCUGAGAUAGCCUCGCUCCCCAAUUAAAGGCUGUGAAAGCUGAGUUAUAAGUCUAGAUGGCAGAUGCAACUCUACCAAAGCACAGCUGAACUUCUGAAAAUCAAGCCACAUAAUCCCCAAUUCACUUAAGUAUUUAAGCAUAUGGCUAUGCUUUGGGAAUGACAGAGUAUAUUGUAGGACCUUUCAUCUUAAUGUAUGCAGUAAUCUCCUACAUAUUUGAGAGAAUUUGUCUAUCUGUCUGUCCGUUUGACCAAGAACUCCUCCUAAAUGA